CCUAAAGCUCCAUAGCUGCUUCUCUUCCUAGCUAAUUUAGUGGCAGCGAGAAGAGAGAGAGAGACACACACGUACUCAGAGUCUCAGAGAUAACCGGACUAGAGUCAUGGCCGCCGUGAUUGCAAAGCUCGUUCUGCCGGUGAUCGUGAUGGCCUUGGUGUUCUCGGCGGUGCUCGGCUCGGCGCGGCCGCUGGCAGGAGAGAAAUGGGGCGCCGGAGACUCCGUCGUCGGAUUCAUCCGGCAGGUGUAUCUCCAGCAGCUGCAAGGGGAGCCAGGGGCAAAACCCUCGUGCUCGACCUGGAGCCCAAAUAACAGGUGCCCCUGAUAGUCUGCAGAAACCGGCGAGAGGAAGCUGGUGAUGCAGAGACCGGGGUACUCCCCUUUUCGAAAAAGGCAAAGAAAGUGGUAAUACAUUUGUUGCUUUGUUAAUCGGAUUGUAACAUAUAUACAGAUGUCUUUAAAAUAACUCAGUUGUUCUUUAUAAAUCUAUACUUAUUGUAAUUUGAUAGGUAAUGUAUAUAAAUUUU
rnacentral:rRNA from 1 species